rnacentral:rRNA from 1 species
UACGUAGGGUGCGAGCGUUAAUCGGAAUUACUGGGCGUAAAGCGUGCGCAGGCGGUAAUGCAAGACAGAUGUGAAAUCCCCGGGCUUAACCUGGGAACUGCAUUUGUGACUGCAUUGCUGGAGUGCGGCAGAGGGGAUGGAAUUCCGCGUGUAGCAGUGAAAUGCGUAGAUAUGCGGAGGAACACCGAUGGCGAAGGCAGCUCGCUGGGACGUGACUGACGCGAGG